GAUGAACGCUGGCGGCGUGCCUAAUACAUGCAAGUCGAGCGAAUGGAUUAAGAGCUUGCUCUUAUGAAGUUAGCGGCGGACGGGUGAGUAACACGUGGGUAACCUGCCCAUAAGACUGGGAUAACUCCGGGAAACCGGGGCUAAUACCGGAUAACAUUUUGAACCGCAUGGUUCGAAAUUGAAAGGCGGCUUCGGCUGUCACUUAUGGAUGGACCCGCGUCGCAUUAGCUAGUUGGUGAGGUAACGGCUCACCAAGGCAACGAUGCGUAGCCGACCUGAGAGGGUGAUCGGCCACACUGGGACUGAGACACGGCCCAGACUCCUACGGGAGGCAGCAGUAGGGAAUCUUCCGCAAUGGACGAAAGUCUCACGGAGCAACGCCGCGUGAGUGAUGAAGGCUUUCGGGUCGUAAAACUCUGUUGUUAGGGAAGAACAAGUGCUAGUUGAAUAAGCUAGCACCUUGACGGUACCUAACCAGAAAGCCACGGCUAACUACGUGCCAGCCGCCGCCGUAA
rnacentral:rRNA from 1 species